rfam:Ixodes scapularis strain Wikel colony gcontig_1108379184700, whole genome shotgun sequence.
CCCGGGCUGGUCUAAUCGGUUAAGACGUCGCCCCGGAUGGGCGAAGGUUGCGGGUUCGAUCCCCGCUCCUGGCU